CCUACGGGUGGCAGCAGUGGGGAAUAUUGCACAAUGGGCGCAACCCUGAUGCAGCGACGCCGCGUGAGUGAUGACGGCUUUCGGGAUGUAAAACUUCAUCUGCAGGGGAGAAAAUUACGGUACCUGAUUCAGUUUCCCCGGCUAACUACGUGCCAGCAGCCGCGGUAAUACGUAGGGGGCAAGGGUUAUCCGGAUUUACUGGGUGUAAGGGGAGCGUAGAGGGCAGCACAAGUCAGGAGUGAAAUGCCGGGGCUUAACCGCGGAACUGCUUUGGAUACUGGGAGGCUAGAGUGCAGUUGAGGUAAGUGGAAUUCCUAGUGUAGCGGUGAAAUGCGUAGAUAUCAGGAGGAACACCAGUGGCGAAGGCGGCUUACUAGACUGCAACUGACGUUGAGGCUCGAAAGCGUGGGGAGCAAACAGGAUUAGAUACCCGGGUAGUC
rnacentral:rRNA from 1 species